rfam:Solenopsis invicta Si_gnG.contig90499, whole genome shotgun sequence.
UGUUCCCGCAUGGGUGAGGAAGCAUGGGAAGCUGUUUUCGUAACGGCGACCUGGACAAGAAAUCUGUCCCUAUCUAUUAUCCAGCGAAACCACUGCCAAAGGAACGGGCUUGGAAAAAUUAGCGGGGAAAGAAGACACUGUUGAGCUUUACUCUAGUCUGGCACUGUAAGGAGACAUGAGAGGUGUAGCAUAAGUGGGAGAUGGCAAUAUCGCCGGUGAAAUACAACUACUUUCAUCGUUUCCUUACUUACUCGGUUGGGCGGAGCGCGUGCCCCGG